CAAUAAUUAUAUCUAUUGUUCCAUUGACAUUUUGUAAAAUAAAAAUUCUAAAUCACCAUUCGAUUGAUAAAUGUAAUUUAAUUUCGCUGUACAUAUCUUGCACAAUUUUGUAAUUUUAUGUAAUUAAAUUAAAUUAAAAAAAAAUCAUCCAAAAGAAUUCUAUUAAAUUACUCAAAUAAACUACACAAAAAUAUUCUCAAAAAUGUUCCACCAUCUUACAACACCAUCAAAUAUACGCUCGCCAAAAAAUUCAAUUUCACUUUAUCCAAUCCAAAACCCUGUCUAAAUUCUUCCCCCUGAAGAAUCAAAACUAUCCAAUAAUAUUCUCAAACAAAUCGACGAACACAAUAGUUGUACACACAGUAAUCUCUCAUGUCUAGACUUGCUUCCUGGGAGCGUCGAGAACGGGGUUAAGUUCGAGCGUCUUCCAGACAGUAUCGUAUGCGCUGUCGAUCAUUCCUGUCUAUCUGUUUUCCACCAAGUCUAUUUUUCCCUAGGAAACUAGACAGGGGGAUAGUGGUGGGUAGACGGGUGUGCAGCUGUGGCCGAAUCUAGGUCCGAUUCUGGGCUGGAAUCACGUGCACACUGCUGUUGACUGCACUUUGAAAUCGGGGCUACGUGGCUCGCGGGGGGGCGAUAAAGCUGCCUCUGAGGCCGUAUCCGAUCGAACGAGGACGAGCGUACACUAGUGGAGGAUCUGUUUGUGUAUGCACGAAUCACGAGGAGGAAAGUGAGCGCUUCGAAGCAACUGUUUUAUCACAUGUGAGAAUCGAUGAGGAGUGAAGAUCGAGGUGCGUAUGUAAUUUCGGGCUGACCAACCACUUGCCUCUACUACUGAUAGUACGAAUACUCGUGUCGAUUUUAUUCACAUUUGGAUUUUUUCCAAUUUUGACUUUGAACGAAUAUUUAGGAAUAACGUUUCAACAAAGUGUAUAUAUUGGAAUAUUGUUUAGUGUUACGUGUGUGGUCUAUGUAUUAGAGUUUUGGUUUUAGUAAAGCAAGAAUAUGUACAUUUAGAGAUAGAUAACACUGGAAGAAGUAAUAUCAAGAAUUGAAGUUUUCUAAGCAAGUUUACGAUUUGAUGGGGAGUAUUUACUUCUCUUUCGUAUAAAAUUCUUUUCUAGUUAUUCUUUCUGCGUCUCAAUUCAUCCGGCCUUGAUCCAGAGGAUGUGAAAAAUAUCAGUGGCAAAUGGGACGCAACACGAUUGUAAAGAAGAAUUGUAAACAAGUACAAGGGUAAACUUCGGAUGAUUGCCUCCGUUGGCUCGAACGCACGAGUGCAAACGGUCGCAAUCGCCAUCUUGCGCUCGCUAUAUCGUUUCCCGAUGAUAAACGCCAUGUUGACGCUCGUGCCGCGGCAUAAAAGUCACGGACCGGUCGUCAUCGUCGUCAACGACCUGCAAGCGUGUUCUCAACUGUCGCACAUGUCGUGAGAUCAAUGACGUCAAUCUUGACACGUGUGGGAAUAAUCAUCGUGCGUAACUACUUGUUGUACCGUGCUGAAGGACUUUUUUUCUUCAAAAUGAUGGAAGAUAAAUAUAAAAUGAGAGAUGUAUCGAUUCGUAUCGUUCCUCGUUUUUGGCAACAUGAUUUUUUUCAGAUCGAAACAGAUUUUUAAUGUUUCGAAAAGGUACAUCGAUAAUUGUUUCUUUCUUUUUAAUUGACAAACAAAUUUUACUUUGAUAAAAAUAGUUGAGCGCGAUCGUACUAUUUGUUUCUUUUUUUUAAUGGAAAGUUUUUAGAGAUUGUUUGUGAAAUAAAAAUUUGAUGAUGUAAACGACAUGAAAGUUCUUUAAU